rnacentral:rRNA from 1 species
GACGAACGCUGGCGGCGUGCUUAACACAUGCAAGUCGAACGGAAAGGCCCUGCUUUUGUGGGGUGCUCGAGUGGCGAACGGGUGAGUAACACGUGAGUAACCUGCCCUUGACUUUGGGAUAACUUCAGGAAACUGGGGCUAAUACCGGAUAGGAGCUCCUGCUGCAUGGUGGGGGUUGGAAAGGUUGGGCGGUUGGGGAUGGACUCGCGGCUUGUCAGCUUGUUGGUGGGGUAGUGGCUUACCAAGGCUUUGACGGGUAGCCGGCCUGAGAGGGUGACCGGCCACAUUGGGACUGAGAUACGGCCCAGACUCCUACGGGAGGCAGCAGUGGGGAAUAUUGCACAAUGGGCGGAAGCCUGAUGCAGCAACGCCGCGUGCGGGAUGACGGCCUUCGGGUUGUAAACCGCUUUCGCCUGUGACGAAGCGUGAGUGACGGUAAUGGGUAAAGAAGCACCGGCUAACUACGUG